GAGAGGAGAGCCCGCCCCACCGCGCUGGUGUUUGUGCGCAGGCUCCGCGCUAGGUUCUGGUAUUUUCGACGCUGACGUCGUCCCUCUGUUCAGUUCGCGUCCGGACCUCGGAGGUGGAGGUUGCUGCCCUCUUAGGUCGAUCGAGACGAGACUCCCGCCGCCUUGGGUCUCCGGUCUGAGAGGAAGGUGUCCGCUAGGCUUUCCUCUCGUCGCCUUUGCGAACACGUCAUCGGUUUAAGUUCCUAGACGCCGUCGUCGCGUUUGCGGAAGGGGCCCGAUUCCGAGAAGGAAGUCAUGUCCUCCUCGGCCGCCGUGUCCAAGUACGUGAACGAUAUGUGGCCCGGCUCCCCGCAGGAGAAGGCGUCGCCGUCCACCUCGGGCUCCGGCCGCUCCAGCCGCCUGUCGUCGCGCUCCCGCAGCCGCUCUUCGUCCCGCAGCUCCGGACCCGGCUCCCGCAGCUCCAGCCGCUCGUCGUCGCGCAGCCACAGCCGGCCGCGGCGGAGCAGGCGGUCCCGGUCCCGGUCGCGCUCCCGCCGGCGCCAUCAGCGCAAGUACAGGCGCUACUCGCGGUCGUACUCCCGCAGCCGGUCCCGGUCCCGCGGCCGCCGCCACCACCGGGACAGCUGUUACGGCCGGCCGCGGAGGUACUACCAGUCCCCGUCGCCCUACCGCUCCCGGAGCAGGUCGCGCUCCCGCGGGAGGUCGUAUCACCGGAGGUCGUACUACGCGAUCACGCGCGGCCGGCGCUACUACGGCUUCGGCCGCACGGUGUACCCCGAGGAUCGCCCCAGGUGGAGGUCCAGGAGCAGGUCGCGCAGCAGGAGCGGGACCCCCUUCCGCUUAACUGAGAAAGAUCGAAUGGAGCUGCUAGAAAUAGCAAAAGCCAAUGCAGCAAAAGCUCUAGGAACAGCCAACUUUGACUUGCCAGCGAGUCUUCGAACUGUAGCCAAGGAAACAAGCCAGGGAGCAGCUGUUUCUAGCAGUGGCGCAAAGAUGGAGGUAAGUAUCUUCAGAAGGCUACUGCCUGCAGAUCUCAUUAUCCUGUCAGUUUACUAUAGACAGCCCUCCUGGGAUGUCUUCUAUCAUUUGCCCAGAACAAAACUAACCUUAAUCUGACAAAUACUAGACCAUCCCCUAGGAAACUGGGAGAUGAUGAACUUGCUUUCAUUCUGACACUUGGUUUGCCUUUCCAUAACAGUAAAACCACUGACUAUAUUAUUGACUAUAUUACUUUGUCUUUUUCUUACUCUUUCUAGUCUUUAGAGACUGGAGCGCUCUAUCAGUAGCUUUCAUUUACAGCAUUAUGUUCCCAAACGUCUGCUCAGUAUACAGUAUAGUUUAUCUGCUUUAUUUCUGUCUUAUAGAAAUCAUGAAUGUGGUCUCCAGACAAUGAUGAAGAAAAUCUGUUGAUGUUUUGAGAGAUUACAGAAGAAGAGGCCUGCUUCACUUGCAGAUAAGUUUAUUACAAUUCUCCAGAAUUACAAAAGAUGUGCAUUGGCACAUUGCACUGUACUUAUAAUUUAAUGCGAAACCUGAAUCUUAAGAUUGAUAAUUUGGUCUGGGUAUGUUGUAGUUCAGUUGCUCUAGGGUGCACAACACCUGGGGUUGUUUCCAGGUGUAAACUGGGUUUAGUGCCCCAUCCCUGUGAUCCCAGCACUGGGAGACAGGAUUGUUCAAGGUCAUCCUUGGCUACAUAAGGAAUCAAGAGGCCAGCCAGGGAUCUCAAAAAUUUACUUUAUAGAAAUUUAAGGUAAAAGUUAGUAGUACAAUGAGAUAGUUUGAAUUGCUGUGACCUUGGGGUCUGCCUACUAUUUGCUUAGGCAAGUACUUAAGAGUUUCUCCUUGAGAUGAUUGGGGCACCUUUCUCAUAUGCCUCUGUUAUUUUGACAAAGCAUUUUCUAUUGCACUUACUCAAAAAUGAGUUGUAGCAGCCGUGGUGGCUCACGCCUUUAAUCCCAGCACUCGGGAGGGGCAGAGCCACUCAGACCUCUGAGUUAAGGCCAGCCUGGUCUACAGAGCGAGAUCCAGGACAGGCACCAAAACUACACAGAGAAACCCUGUCUCGAAAGGACAAAAAAAAGAAAAAAAAAAAAUGAGUUGUAUCCAAAGCAGGAAUCAGGUAUUCAUGGGGAACUGUGUUGUGUCUACUUCUCUAAAUCAAUAUUGUUAAGUGGAAGCAAGUUUGUUUUUGUUGUCUAGCUUGUUAACUGUGGCAAUAGAUGGAAUUGGUUUGUGUGUCUACAGCUACAUUUGUGUGCAAUGGGCUGCUUUUUAUACAAUAUUCAAAAAACUAAGGCUAUGUUAAAAUUCUCUGCCCCUCUAGCAUUCAGAAAAGCAAACUGAAGAUGGAAGUAAAAAUCCCAGUGAGAAAUCUUCUGCACAGAGAAACAUAGCCUUCAGCUCCAAUAAUUCCAUAGCAAAGCCAUUACAGAAAACAGCUAAAGCUGCUGCUGAAGAGACAUCAUCAGGAUCACCAAAAA